GGGCCCGUAGCUCAGCCUGGUAGAGCACUUGACUUUUAAUCAAGUGGUCGCGCGUUCGAAUCGCGUCGGGCCCG
rnacentral:tRNA from 1 species